CUCUAUGCGCAAAAACAAACGCCUCUUCUGAUAGCGAGAGUCCUUGCCUAUAUAAAAUACCUUUUUUACACUGGUGCACGUGACCAUGCGUUUGCAUUGGGAAUCUAGCUAGUACCACCAAAAACAGCCUUACAGUUCAUUCGUUGGUCUCCACUCUCUCCUGUGCCUUUCUAGUACUGCUACUGCAUGGCAAAUAGGGUCUUCUUUUAUUUAAGUUCCGUGCUUUUCAUUUUGUUACCGUUGGAUCUCAUUGUAUCUCGUGUUGGUGGACCCUCCUGGACUUGCUCGCUUUAGGGUUUAGGCUUUAAGUGCCUGUUUAGCAUUGCAGCCAAACCGGUUUUUUGAAAAAAUUUAAAAAAAUUUUAUUUUUUAUUUUUAUUAAAAUUGAUUGUGAUUUGUGCUUUUUGGAUCGUUUUGAUGUGCUGAUGUCAAAAAUAAUUUUUUAAAAAUAAAAAAACAUUAUUGGCAUGUUUUUCGGCACGAAAAGUUAUUUGAAAAGCAACCGCUACCACACUCCGAAACACUCUUAAAACUUGGUUCCACUACAUCUUUGCUGAGCAUUUGUGGAUCUUAGCCGAAUGUGUGAAUCGGGCACAAGAUUUGUUGCAUGUGAUCCGCUACCGUGUCGCUGUUCUUAGCCCUCGAGCAUUAUUAUGAACUUCUUGUAUGAGAGAACCCAUGCUUGCAUUACUGGAGCCUGUAGCCCUUUGAGCGUGGGCUCACGUAAAGGGGCUUCUGGUAG
rnacentral:lncRNA from 1 species